rnacentral:lncRNA from 1 species
UUGCGUAACUCUCAAUGCCAAAGUUCAGCACACGUCCCUCCAGGAUCUUCCAGAUGUAUAUUAUGGCAUAUCUUUCCCGCCUACGCUCCAGGGAAUAUAGUUUUAAUCUCUUGAGUCUUUCCCAGUAGCUUACAUUCUGCAUAGAGGCUAUCUUCUUCGUGUAGCUACGUUGGAUCGCCUCGAGCUCUGUGAUCAACUUGACACUGGAUGGUGACCAUAACUGAGAGCAGUAGUCAAAGUGGCUUAGGACAAGUGUCCUCCAGAGGACCAUCAUGGUUUCUUGUUCUCUUGUUCUAAAGGUUCUGAGGAUCCAUCCGGCCAGUCGUCUACAUUUCAUUGCCAAUUUAGCAACAUGUACACGAAAGGUCGCGUCAUCACUCAUGUAAAUACCUAGGUCACGCACUGAUUGUGCCUCUGGGAUUGCUAUUCCUCCGGGUCCAGUGUAUUCAUUGGGUAUUGCAUUUAGUUUUGCAUGCUGAUAGUAUAGAGCUUGAAACUUUUCAGCAUUGAACUGCAUGCUAUUCUUUUCGGCCCACUUGUAUAUUUUGUCUAGCUCACAUUGCAGGUGUUUAGUGUCCUCAGGGUUCUGUAUUGCCUGUGAAACUUUUGUAUCAUCUGCAUAACUUGUGAUCGUGGCUCUCUGCGUGGCUGAGGGCAUGUCUGAGAGGGCCAUUAUGAACAGUAGUGGUCCCAGAACAGUGCCCUGCGGAACAUCGCUCACUAUUUGCGUGUUAAUGGAAGUGGCCCCAUUGGCCACUACCACCUGACUUCUAUCUUUCAGAAAGUCAUGAAGCCAUUCUCCCAGUUUUCCAACUAUGUUGAGAUCACGCAGUUUGUGACAUAUCAUUCCAUGAUCGACUUUAUCAAAGGCCUUUGCAAAGUCGAGAUAUAUCACUUCCACAUUUGAGUGGUUGAGCAGCCGUUUCAGCACCCAGUCAUAGUGUUGUAGGAGCUGAGUUAAACAGCUUCUCCCUGGUCGAAAACCAUGUUGGGUGUCGGGCAGCAAGUCAUUCUCUUCAAGGAAGGUGAUCAGCUUCCUUCUGAUUUCGUUCCAUGACCUUGCUGAUGUGUGAGGUCAGAGAGAUAGGUCUAUAGUUCUUGGCUUCUGCUCUGCUACCUCCUUUAUGAAUGGGGCAUAUUUUACCUUCCUUCAGUUUUCUUGGAAGUUUGCCAGCUGCAAGGAAGCUCUGAAAGAGGAACUGCAGUGGUCUUGCUAGGACUCUCUUACAUGCUUUUAGGAGGAUUGCCGGGAAUCCAUCGGGGCCAGUAGCUGAGUCUGUUUUCAUUUCAUCUAUAGCCUUGAUUACAUCGUCUUCCUUUAUAUCGAUGUAAUCUAUCGUCACUGCCUCUGAUUUUAUAUCUGCAGUGGUAUAAAAGUUAGUUGGAUUGGUGAUUUGGAGAUGCCCAAGGGGUGGAGUGAAAAUACUCUUGAAUUGCUCAUUCAGUAUUUCACUUACCCUCAUUGGUUUUCCUGUGAGUGUGCCAUCCUUUUCGAGGAGUGGCCCUAUUCUACAGUGCACCGUAGCUGUUUCUUUGGCAUACCUGUAGAAAGCUCUGGGGUUAGAUUUUAUGUUGUCUAUAGCCCAGGCUUCUUUGCCUGCUCUUUCCUUUUCAUGGGAGAGUUGCAGACAUUUUUCGAUUUCCAACAGUUUUAUUUUUAGGCGGGACUUUUCACUGCUUUCAAUCUGUUUGUUUAGGCGAUUUGAAAAUUUUGUACGCCGUCUCAUUAAAAUUUUCCUCUCUCUGGGGAUUUUGUUCUUGUGUACAGUGGCCUUUCUCUCUGGGACACAUUUGUAGCAUAUGGCUUGCAUUACAGACAUGAAUUGUUGAAGUUUCACGUCGAUGUCUGGCAAGGAGAGACAUUUAGACCAGUUUUGUUUGAGGAUCUCUUUCUCAAUUUGUUUCCAGUUUGCCUUAUGGUAGUUCAAGCUGGAAAGAUUCUGAGGGUUUCUUGUAGGCUGCAUGUCCGUGCUCUCUUUUGGCCCGUACAUGGUCAGCUCUAUCAUGUUGUGAUCCGAGAGUAGUGUCGGUGUCACUUUCACAUUAUGGAUAAGAUCCAUGUCAUUUGUGAAGCAGAGAUCCAGUGUGUUACCUGCCCUGGUUGGUUGGAGUAUUACUUGCUCCAUGUACAGGGUGUUGAUGAGGUUCAGGAGGGACCUCGCCUGUCCUCGUUCACAUCUUGUCAUUCCUGGGAGAGAAAGGCCCUCGGGCCAUCUGACAUUGGGCAGAUUGAAGUCUCCCAUAAGAAGUACACUUAUGUGUUGUUCUAAUGUGGUUAGAACUUCUUCUAUUUUUAUAAGGCAGUCUUCAAACUUGCCCACAUGGCUUGGGGCAUCUGGAGGGCGAUAUGUAGCACACACAACUACAUCAAGUUGCCUAAUAUGUACAAUUAGUGUGUCACACACCGAGUUUGAGUAUGACAAGAGGACCUGGGGUGUGAGGUCCUCACGGAUGUACAUAGCAACACCUCCAUGACUCCUUUCUUUCCUGUCGGUCCGUA